UACAGAGGUCUCAAGCGUUGUUCGGAUUCAUUGGGCGUAAAGGGUGCGUAGGCGGCGCGGUAAGUCGGGUGUGAAAUCUCGGAGCUUAACUCCGAAACUGCAUUUGAUACUGCGGUGCUUGAGGACUGGAGAGGAGACUGGAAUUUACGGUGUAGCAGUGAAAUGCGCAGAUAUCGGGAGGAACACCAGUAGCGAAGGCGGCUCGCUGGGCCGUUCCUGACGCUGAGACGCGAAAGCUAGGGGAGCGAACAGG
rnacentral:rRNA from 1 species